AUUGCUUCUCAGCCAUUUAGCUAAGAUCAAGUGUAGUAUCUGUUCUUAUCAGCUUACAGUGUAAAUGAGAAGACUAUGCCUUAUUGUAAUAAAUUACUAGACUUCUACAUUGUCAUGAAGUAUUUAUAUCAUAAUGCAGUUUGUCUUAUGGUGUAAUGCAUUUUUCCAUGUAAAAUAUGUUUUAAU